GUGGCAGUAAGACCGUCCCAAUGCCUUGUUGGCAUAAAAAAGAGGUAGCACAGGAAUCUGGGAUACAGAAGACCCCUCCCCUCAUCUCUGAGGCUGAUGUGAGACUUUUCAUUUCAUUAUGUCACUGGGUCAUGAUACCAGACACCUGCAACUUAAAGAAAAAGAGGUCCAUUCUGGUUCAUGUUUUAGUAGUCCUCAGUACUUUUUUUUUUUUUAAAUCGGUACCUGGGAUCAAACUCAUGACCACACACUUGCAAGGUCAUCAGCUCCCACAGUCGAGGGUAUGAAGAUCGUCUUCAUGACAGGUUCCUGCCCUCAUGCAUCCUGGAUGGAGACUGCAGAUCCUGGCUCUUCCAAAAGAAGCCAACAUCACAUCAGCCGCCAUCCAGACCCGGCUUUGGUCCUGGGCCUGGAAGUCAAUUGUCUUGGUUAAUUUUUUCUUGCUGCUGGGACAAAAUACCUGACACCCAAAAUAAAGGGGGCAAAGGUUUAUUUAGCUCACUA